rnacentral:rRNA from 1 species
UACGAAGGGUGCAACCGUUGCUCGGAAUUAUUGGGCGUAAAGGGCUCGUAGGCGGUUUGUCACGUCGGGAGUGAAAACUCGGGGCUUAACCCCGAGCCUGCUUCCGAUACGGGCUGACUAGAGGUAUGCAGGGGAGAACGGAAUUCCUGGUGUAGCGGUGAAAUGCGCAGAUAUCAGGAGGAACACCGGUGGCGAAGGCGGGAUCCUGGGCCAGUACUGACGCUGAGGAGCGAAAGCGUGGGGAGCAAACAGG